GAUGAACGCUGGCUACAGGCUUAACACAUGCAAGUCGGGGGGAAACGGCAUUGAGUGCUUGCACUGAAUGGACGUCGACCGGCGCACGGGUGAGUAACGCGUAUCCAACCUUCCCGUUACUGCGGGAUAACCUGCCGAAAGGCAGACUAAUACCGCAUGUUCUUCGAUGACGGCAUCAGAUUCGAAGCAAAGAUCCGUCGGUAACGGAGGGGGAUGCGUCUGAUUAGCUAGUUGGCGGGGCGACGGCCCACCAAGGCGACGAUCAGUAGGGGUUCUGAGAGGAAGGUCCCCCACAUUGGAACUGAGACACGGUCCAAACUCCUACGGGAGGCAGCAGUGAGGAAUAUUGGUCAAUGGGCGGAAGCCUGAACCAGCCAAGUAGCGUGCAGGAUGACGGCCCUACGGGUUGUAAACUGCUUUUAUGCGGGGAUAAAGUGAGGGACGCGUCCCUUUUUGCAGGUACCGCAUGAAUAAGGACCGGCUAAUUCCGUG
rnacentral:rRNA from 1 species